UCUCUCGUAGCUUAAUGGUUAGAGCAUUGGUGCGUAAAGCCAAAGAUCCCGGGAUCAAUUCCCGGCGAGGGUG
rnacentral:tRNA from 1 species